rnacentral:misc_RNA from 1 species
GAUGAAGAACGUAGCGAAAUGCGAUAAGUAAUGUGAAUUGCAGAAUUCAGUGAAUCAUCGAAUCUUUGAACGCACAUUGAGCCCGCCAGUAUUCUGGCGGGCAGGCCUGUUCGAGCGUCAUUUCAACCAUCAAGCCCCCCGGCUUGUGUUGGGGACCUGCGGCUGCCGCAGGCCCUGAAAAGCAGUGGCGGGCUCGCUGUCACACCGAGCGUAGUAGAUCUCAUCUCGCUCAGGGCGUGCUGCGGGUUCCGGCCGUUAAACCACCUUCAUAACCCAAGGUUGACCUCGGAUCAGGUAGGAAGACCCGCUGAACUUAAGCAUAUCAAUAAGCGGAGGA